UGCCCACUGAUAAUUAUUAAAGGGCUGCAGUAAUUUGACUGUACAAAGGUAGCAUAAUCAUUAGUCAUUUAAUUGAUGACUUGUAUGAAAGAUUGGAUGAGAUAUAAACUGUCUUGGAAAUAAUGUAUAAAAUUUAAUUUUUUAAUUAAAAAGUUAAAAUAAGUAAAAAAGACGAGAAGACCCUAUAGAGUUUUAUUGUUAAAUGAGUUAUGGUUAUUUAUAUAGAAUAAUAUUUAAAUUUAUUUAAUAAUUUUGUUGGGGUGAUAGAGAAAUUUAAUGAACUUUUUUUUUUAUUUAACAUAGAUAAGUGAAUAGAUGAUCCAUUAUUAAUGAUUAUAAGAAAUAAUUACCUUAGGGAUAACAGCGUAAUUUUUUUUUUUAGUUCGUAUAAGAAAAAGAGUUUGCGACCUCGAUGUUGGAUUAAGAUAAAAUUUAAAUGUAGAAGUUUAAAAUUUUUGA
rnacentral:rRNA from 1 species